CGAGAAACUCACCUGUUCUGAGCUCGUGCUUCACAGUUAGCAGGUCACCUUCCCGUGAGGGGCCCGCCAUAUCCCGAAAUACUCGUAGCCCCUCACUAUAAGGGCAUAUGAUGGACUUCAUUCAUCCAUUGAUUGGGUGUAUCCAGCGAAUAUCAACCUAUCAGAUCUUUUUAUUUUGGAGGUGUGCCCCUCCCCGCCAUGUUGAAAUAGAAAGCCAUAAUCAGGGUAAUGAUAUUCUCUUGAAAAAGUCGGGUCGCAACCCGACGAAACGCGUAGAGUUCUGUGCACUGAGGAGUAUUGAGCUACACUGUAGUAGCUUACAACAACAAAUAACAUCUAACUGUCAGGAAUCCGUGAGGCUACCCUUGCCGUGAUCAGUUCCAGUUAAGUCUUGGACUUCCGGAUUGGAUAGCGGACAUCUCUAACAGCUUAGCCGGUGGAAAGACCCUGUGUGCUGGAAAGAGACGGAGGAUUGUCUGUGCUCAGCGGUGUUACUGCCGAGUGGUGACUUUUAAUGCUUGCAUUUUUUAUGUGUUAUGUACGUCUUUGCCCAUAUAUGUCUGUUUACCAGUUGUAAUUCACAUUAAACAGUUUUACGUUCAGA